UGUGAACAAUAUAGAAAUGAGGACUUUGCUUCCCAAAAGAGUUCAGAAAAAGGACUACAUGUCCAGAAGGAUUCCUGCCAUUUCACAGUUGCACUGAUCGGCGUUUCCUCCCCAAGAAGUUGCGAUGGUUAUACGGCCGCAUUUUCAUUUCCACAAAAGGGACAACAAAGGAUUGAUAUAUCCCUGCUUGCCACCUGAGGACUACAAUAAUAUCCAACUAUCAUAGGAAAGU